AGUCGAGUUGUUUGGGAAUGCAGCUCAAAUUGGGUGGUAAAUUCCAUCUAAAGCUAAAUAUUGGCGAGAGACCGAUAGCGAACAAGUACCGUGAGGGAAAGAUGAAAAGCACUUUGGAAAGAGAGUUAACAGUACGUGAAAUUGUUGGAAGGGAAACGCUUGAAGUCAGACUUGCUGUUCGGAGUUCAGCCGCAAGGUGUACUCUCCGAGUUGCAGGCC
rnacentral:rRNA from 1 species